AGCGAACGCUGGCGGCGUGCUUAACACAUGCAAGUCGAGCGAGAAAGGGGGCUUCGGCCCCUGAGUACAGCGGCGAACGGGUGCGUAAUGCAUGAGCAAUCUACCCUUGAGGCGGGAAUAACCCAGCGAAAGUUGGGCUAAUACCGGAUAAGACCACAAGAGGAGACCCUAGAGGCUAAAGGCAGCUCUCUUUUGGGGGGCGGCCCUUUGAGGAGGAGCUCAUGUCCUAUCAGCUAGUUGGUAGGGUACGCUCCAAGCGAAGACGGGUAGCUGGUCUUAGAGGAUGAUCAGCCACACGGGGACUGAGACACGG
rnacentral:rRNA from 1 species